rnacentral:lncRNA from 1 species
AACUAAAGUUGUGAUACCUCUAAAACAUAAAUUACGAGUUGGUCAAAGAUGGAUGCUUUGGAUCGUUAGAUCCGGAUCCAAUACCUUCUUGUUAAAAUUGUAUAGAGGUGAAAUGUUCGAAUCUUUAUUCUUUUGGAAAGAAGAAAGAAUCACAAAGUUGUUGAGGUUAAUUCACUUAGAUGUUAGUGGCACUUGUCCACAACAUAAUACUACUCAUGUUAUAUGACAUUCACCGAAGAUCACUCUCGGUUGGACUAUAGUUUAUUUUGAAUAAACACAAAUCCGAAUACUUUGCAAAAUGUUUCAAAGAAUUCAAGUAAUGUAAGUUGAUGAGUAAACGUCUAAAGUAUUUACCUCCUUAGAUUUGAUCCAAGAUAAGGUAACACUUUAGAACAGUUUCCUUGAAAGAUAUCAAGGAAAGAAGCAUCAUAAGAUAAUAAAUUUCUCCAUUAAGGAGAAGAACGAACUUAAAUAAGAUUUAGUUCGUUGGAUGUUAUCUAUUACCCAUAUAUAGGAUAUAUACUUCUAAAAACAAUAUGAUUGUCAAUUAGAAGAUCUUCCAAAUUUUUCAUAACUCCAUAAGAUGUAGUUGGAUAGAAAGACAAAUCUUAAGCUUAUUAAGAUUUGGGGUUGUGAGCUAAUAAGCAAUAUUUGUUUGAUAACAAUCUUGUGGGAUAUCCUUAAAUUAACUUUUGGAUAUCACUUCUAUAAACCAACUAACAAAUGUUGUUUUGUUGGGUAGUUCAUUGUAAUUCUACAAUAUGAUUUGCCUAAACGCAAAUGGACGAAAGAUAGAACUCAAAGAAUGGGUUCUUUGAGAGACAAGAUAAUAAUCGACAAAUAUAACAACCUAAUUCCUAUACCAAAAGCUCCAAGGUAGUCAAGAAGGAUUUAUAAACCGUCUCAGUUGAAUGGUUUGAACUUUAUGACUAUGUCAUAGAGUUGCACCUCUUAAUUCGAAAGAAAUAAGAAUGAAAAUCCUUAUGACUACAUUGAAUGUAUAUACGAUAUAUACUCAAGGAAAUGGUAAAGUACCAUUUAACCCAAAAUAAUGAAACCUUCAUAGCUAAAUGGUAGCUUAAGGUGACUACAAUCAAAGAGAAUGGUUGACUUUGAAGAAACCAUCUUUGAGAUAGUCUUGGUUUCAAUUAAUUCGAAGAAUGCUAACUACAACUAAAUGGUGAUUCAAUGUUUGGACAUAAUAUGGGUUUCUGAAACCAUUAUUAAGAUAGUCUUGAUAAUAUAUGUCUAAAACUAUAAAUCACAAGACAUGUAAGUUGUAGAGAUCCAUCCAUCAUGAAUCUUAGCAAGCUAGUGGGAGCUAUAAGCAUCUUAUGAGAAAAGGAUCAAAUCGUUUGAUUUCUCAUAAAGAUUUAAAUGAAUCUUUUGUUUACUAGGUUUACAAAAGAUUAGUGGCAGUUAAUCAUGUUCCUAAAAUUUAAAUAUAUAUGAUAUAUUAAUUUUGGAAAUGAAAAGAAUACUUCUUCGUUAAAGUUAUGACUUUAAAACAUUAUAUGAAGAUAGAAUGUAUAUGGGAAUUAAUCAUGUUCCUAAAAUUUAAAUAUACAUGAUAUAUUAAUUUUGGAAAUGAAAAGAUUACUUCUUAGUUAAAGUUAUGACUUUAAAACAUUAUAUGAAGAUAGAAUGUAUAUGGGAGACAUAGUCUAUAUACAUGGGAUGUAAAUCUAUAAUGAUAGAUUUUAGGAUAUAAUUGGAUUAUAUCAAUUCCUAAUAAUAGACAAGAGAUGCUAGGAAGUUUCUCAUAUAAUGAUAAACUUCAAUUAGAAGGACGAUUCUAGUGAGACUAGCAAGUUGCCCUUCUCAAAGGGAACGUACCCUUUGACUCCCAAAGAAAUAAUGCGUAAAUAGAAUCCUUUAUGCGUAAGCAGAAAGGUGAUUUAUGUAUUUCAUAUUGUAUGAAAAACAUUGAUAUGAGUUGUACCUAGAAUGGUACAAGACGAUAUCAGUGAAAGCCCAGGAUCAGAACCAUGGCAACUGUCAAGUGAAUCCUUAAGUAUUUAAGAAAUACUAAAGGAUAGAUUCCUCAAAGAAGUGAGGAAGAAUUAGAGUAAUGUAAUGGAAGCGCAAAUGUAUUAGAUUGUGAAUCUAAUCCAUCAUUGGAUGUUUCUUCAUUAUGAAUGAAAAGAUAAACAGAUAUCUCUUUAUUAUGACUAAAGAGAUAUUUGGAUGGAAACAUUAAAGUAAUGACUUUAGUGUGUUCCAUUAUGAAUGCAAAAUAUAUUGCCAUAUAGAAGUUUACAACACUGUUGUUUGGAUGGGAAAGUUCAUUUAUGAACUCUCUAUUCGGUUCCAACCAGAAAGUGUAUCUAGUGUACUGACACUAUGACACUAAUGGGGCGAUAGCUCAAGCCAGGGAAUCAAGGUCUCAUCAAGGUCCGAAAACAAAUGAGAAACUGAACCACAUGAUUGAGAAUCAUGUAUAAUGGUGACGUCGUUAUUCUCAAGGUUGCUUCUAUGGAUAACAUAUAGAUAUCCAUUGUCUAGGCCUACUAUUCAGCCAUUUAUGAAAUGACUACAGAAGAGGUAUCAUAACUGAUGAUCAAGCUGAUUGGCUCUAGUGCAAGUGGGAGAUUGUUGGGAAUGUGCCCUAAAGCCAAUCAUGUGAUGAUACUUUACGGACAUUUCACAUGUUAAACUAAUCUAGUUUAAUAUCAAGCGCAAAGAUUAUUGUUUGAGCCGUCUCAUAUAAAUGUUAUAUGCUUAAACGAUAAGUCCAAGGAAUAUGUGAUUGGGAGAAUGCAAUCUAAAGAAGUUAGAUUCAUGAGACCAUUCUUUCGUAGACACAUCCUAAAUGUUCCUGAUCAUAGGAUUGCCAAUUGGGCAUUGACAGUCCAUUAAGAUCAGUACGUGUUGUGUCUUCUCUCAGGGAGAGUGACUAGUCUCGAGUCAUUGGUGUGUGUGACAUUAAGACAAGUACGUAGGUGCUCAAUAGAGAAUGAGUUCACUGAACACGAUCAACGAAGAGUUCUCAUAUUCAUGUCACAUGAGAACUCAUGGUUAGGAUAAUGCAAAAUAGUCCUUUGACCUGAGGCAUCAUAGUUGUCUUGUGGUUAAGUCCUUGAUCUUUGAUUAUGUCAAAAGUCAC